UUAUGGCUCAGGAUGAACGCUAGCGACAGGCUUAACACAUGCAAGUCGAGGGGCAGCGGGGAGUAGCAAUACUUCGCCGGCGACCGGCGCACGGGUGAGUAACACGUGUGCAACCAACCCCGUACCGGGAGAUAACCCGCGGAAACGUGGACUAACAUCCCAUGAUACUCGAGAGCCGCAUGGCUCUAGAUUUAAAAUUCCGGUGGUACGGGACGGGCACGCGCGACAUUAGGUAGUUGGCGGGGUAAGGGCCCACCAAGCCGACGAUGUCUAGGGGUUCUGAGAGGAAGGUCCCCCACACUGGAACUGAGACACGGUCCAGACUCCUACGGGAGGCAGCAGUGAGGAAUAUUGGUCAAUGGGCGAGAGCCUGAACCAGCCAAGUCGCGUGAGGGACGAACGGUCUAUGGCCUGUAAACCUCUUUUGUCAAGGAAGAAUAAAUCGCACGGGUGCGAUCUUGCCAGUACUUGACGAAUAAGCAUCGGCUAACUCCGUGCCAGCAGCCGCGGUAAUACGGGGGAUGCGAGCGUUAUCCGGAUUUAUUGGGUUUAAAGGGCGCGUAGGCGGGACGUCAAGUCAGCGGUAAAAGACUGCAGCUAAACUGUAGCACGCCGUUGAAACUGGCGCCCUCGAGACGAGACGAGGGAGGCGGAACAAGUGAAGUAGCGGUGAAAUGCAUAGAUAUCACUUGGAACCCCGAUAGCGAAGGCAGCUUCCCAGGCUCGUUCUGACGCUGAUGCGCGAGAGCGUGGGUAGCGAACAGGAUUAGAUACCCUGGUAGUCCACGCCGUAAACGAUGCUCACUGGAUCUUGGCGAUACACAGCCAGGGUUCAAGCGAAAGUAUUAAGUGAGCCACCUGGGGAGUACGUCGGCAACGAUGCAACUCAAAGGAAUUGACGGA
rnacentral:rRNA from 1 species